UGAGGAAUAUUGCCCAAUGGGGGAAACCCUGAGGCAGCAACGCCGCGUGAACGAAGACGGCCUUCGGGUUGUAAAGUUCUUUUCUGGGGGACGAUGAUGACGGUACCCCAGGAAUAAGUUCCGGCUAACUACGUGCCAGCAGCCGCGGUAAAACGUAGGGGACAAGCGUUAUCCGGAUUUACUGGGCGUAAAGCGCACGUAGGCGGUGAGGUAAGUUGGCCGUGAAAGCUCCCGGCUUAACUGGGAGAGGUCGGACAAAACUGCCCCACUUGAGGCUGAGAGAGGAGAGCGGAAUUCCCGGUGUAGUGGUGGAAUGCGUAGAUAUCGGGAGGAACACCAGUGGCGAAGGCGGCUCUCUGGCUCAGAACUGACGCUGAGGUGCGAAAGCGUGGGGAGCGAACGG
rnacentral:rRNA from 1 species